rnacentral:rRNA from 1 species
UACGGGGGGGGUAAGCGUUGUUCGGAUUCAUUGGGCGUAAAGGGUGCGUAGGCGGCGCGGUAAGUCGGGUGUGAAAUCUCGGGGCUUAACUCCGAAACUGCAUUCGAUACUGCCGUGCUUGAGGACUGGAGAGGAGACUGGAAUUUACGGUGUAGCGGUGAAAUGCGUAGAUAUCGUAAGGAAGACCAGUGGCGAAGGCGGGUCUCUGGACAGUUCCUGACGCUGAGGCACGAAGGUCAGGGGAGCAAACGGG